ensembl:lncRNA
CAAAACUUUAGCGCCAUUUAGUGCUCAAGUUUUUCUUGUGCUUUUGUUCAUCGACGUUGUCAAAUGGGCUUCUUCUUCUUCUUUUUAGUUUAAUAGCGGCUGGUAAACCAGCUUACAAGUGCACUACCGCCACCUGCUGCACUGGAGUGUGGCUCCGCCAAUAAAUGUCCACACCUUUUCCGGCUUUUAAGCCAAUCAGCGAUGCGCCCUGCGUGAACACGGGGUUUGAAAUGUGGAGAGACUCGGCUAAGCUAGACGACAAAGAAAGUUAACCUGGUUUUGUUCUGCACUACUUCCUGUCCAACACAGAGGACCCAUGCCAGCGGCUAUGGCGAAUGAUACCGCGUGGAUGACGACGUGGAAUAUGGACACAAAUCCCAGCAACAGAUGCUGUGGUGUAGAUGUCAUGGAAGGUCCUCUUCGCCUUCUCCCAGGCAGAACUCCAAGCUCCAUGACCUGAUGACAUGAGCUCCCUCAUUCCUUAAGCUGAGCUUUUUUAGUGAUGACAGUUAAUGCAGCUGCUCACCAUCAGAUGAACCAGUCUGAAGAUUGGACAGCUUAUGCUUACAUGAGAUGACCCAAAUAUAUCCUGCCAGCAAAAGUAGGUGGAGGAAGUCCGACCCCAAAACUGUGAGGAGUCGGACAAGAUUUUGCAUCAGAAGAAAUAUCCAAAGUGGUGGAGAGCAUCAUGACCAACCUCGGAAGAUCUGUGUCAUUGGCUUAACUUCAACAUUUUCCUUCACUCUUACUACAGCAACAAUCAUCCAGGCAAAUACUGUAAUAAAAUGGCACAAACUUGUAUCAUAUUUCUAGCAUUUUGAUUUUUGGGUCAUAGCAUCCAGCUGUCAAAUAGCUGAAUUAAAGCAGCAGAGGGUUCAUUAAUCACUUUUGCUGAAAGUGUUUUGCAGAGGUGACAGCAACUGGACUCCUAAGAACGAUUACAGUUUCAGUGAAUGCCUUGCAUCAUCAGAGGCUUUAGCUCAUUUUAAAUAUCUGCUUGUUCUGUUGUUAUGUCAUCCAGCAGGGUUAGAAGUUUGUUUGCCUGGCACUAUGAUGUGUAUGUAUUAUUGUAGGGUCUACCUUACAAUAUAAAGUGGCUUGAGGUGACUGUUGUUGUGACUUGGCGCUAGAUAAAUAACAUUGAAUUGAAGCAAUCUGUAUUCGGAUUAUUUAUGUACCCAGGAAACGGUGAAAGUAACUGUGUAGUUGUAACAUCGAAGAUUCUCCGCAACAUAUGUGCAGGAAGCAAACCUGAGAUGGUUGGUGUUAAACUUAACAAUAUCCUGCUGUUCACCUGGUUAGCUGUAAUUAUACUGAUAAUGAAAUCACUGGUGUAUUUUUACACCUUAGAUACUGAUUUACACUGACUCUGCAGGUUUAGUGGAUCUGUCAAGUAUCAGUGGUUUACACAUGGAUUUCUUUUGAAUAAACCGUAAUUAGUAACUGGGGAACCGACAUAUGUAAUGUAGGUGUUUGGCACCAGUACAGAUCAUAUUACAGCGGUAUUGGCCAGAUAUGAAUAGAUUAUAGAGAACUGGCUUCUUCAUUUACAUGAACCAAAGAAUUUUAGGUACAUAUGACAAUCCAAUUUUUUUUUUCUUUGCAUAAAUGUAUUCAUUUUUAAUUUUAUGCCACCAAUAGUUGUCUAAAAAGUUGGAACAGAAGACUGAAAAAGCUGAAAAUCAAUAUUCAGUUGCUGUGUCUUUGUGCUGUCGGGUGGAAGUGCAUUAAAAAAAAGAUUCGGUAGUAGACAUCACUCUGUGGACUCAAAAGAAUUCUGAAAAUCCUCGUCAUUAAAGUUCAUUGCUACAUCCACAGAAAGCUUAAAUCUACUAUGUACGCUAAAAAAGGAACGCAGUGUUACAUCCAGGGUCAUUUAAGAUGGAUGGAGGUGAUGUGGAGAAUUGGCCUGUGGUCUGAGCCGGAAUUAGAAAAGGGGGGGAAAAAAGUGACGAUGGGGCCACAUUCAGGUUGGAUCAAUCUUCACUUUAAAAACAAAAAAUGUGCUGCUGGUAUUAAAUUAAAAAUGUGUACAUCCUCUCAGUAUCACAUUUCUAUCUGUUGAUUUUGUUUGGUUUUCAGUCAAUACAGAAGAAUUAAAUAACAUGACCUAUAUAAAUUAAAUUCAGACAUGUGACAAGUUGCUGUUCUCCAUGGUUGCCCAUCUCUGCUGUAGAGUAGGAUUUUAACCACCAGGUGGCAGUUGAAUAUCAGGCAUCCCCUCCAGUCUGUUGCCUAUAAUAAGGUAACACAUUGUACUGGAGUAAUUAGCGCCUCAAAACUGCACACACUGAUAACUCC